UUAAUGUAAAAAUUUUCUUGUAAAUUAAUCAGUGUUAUUCCCAAAUUAUUAUUUAAAAAUGCGGGGUGUGACAAGUUACUUGCAAAAAUUGUUAUUAAGUGUGUAUUUCUGAGCAAGUCGGUCAGUUUUUUUACGAAUUUUUAAUUUUCCUACAUGCAAUUAAAUAAAUACAUACAUAAUUAAUUAAUUAGCAAAAA